GUGGACCUUCCCAGGACCCACAGGAGGACCAUCUGCUUCCCACAGGGGGUUGACCGCAGCUUUUUGCAAAUAUGUCUGUAAGCUGAUUGCAAAAUGGGAUGUGAGCAGAUGAUUGAGGGGAGUUUCAGAGCAGGAGGCUUACAAGAGAAUUGUGUCAGCUUCAAAUCCUCCCUCUGAAAGGCCUCCAGUGAAAGAAUUUUGAGGACAGCACUGGCAAGAGAGAGUACCAAGAUGGAGAAGUCACCUGGGGGAACUGACGGUCCCUGUUGUCUAGGGUCUGGACAUCACCUUGACAAAUCCAGGAACUCAUCAUGUCAGAACACUCAGAGGAAUGUUGUUAAACCCUUGUCCAUUUUGUGAGAGUUAACUAAGUGAAAACUGAUACUGUACCAUGAUAUAAUCUAUAAGUCCACUGAAGAGGGCUUAUAAACUGCAAGAUGCCAUAUUGUGUGCUGAAAGGUGAGCACGAGUGAGUGGCCAUGGUCAACCUCCAGGUGUGGAAUUCCCAUUCUUCACUGGGACACUUCAGUAAUGAAUGAGGCUAUUCUUCAGACAACGUAUAAUACAAUGCAUUCACUCAGAAUCUAGAAUAUUUUAUAGCUUUGGA